CCUACGGGUGGCAGCAGUGGGGAAUAUUGGGCAAUGGACGCAACCCUGACCCAGCCACGCAGCGUGAAGGAAGACGGCUUUCGGGUUGUAAACUUCUUUUCUGAGGGACGAAAAAAGUGACGGUACCUCCGGAAUACGCCACGGCCAACUACGGGCCAGCAGCCGCGGUAAUACGUAGGUGGCAAGCGUUAUCGGGAUUUAUUGGGUUUAAAGGAUGCUCAGGCGGGAGAUAAAGUCAGCGGUAAAAUGUCGGGGCUCAACCCCGGCCGGCCGUGGAAACUGGUGUUCUAGAGUUGGAGGGAAGUAUGCGGAAUUCGUGGUGUAGCGGUGAAAUGCAUAGAUAUCACGAAGAACUCCGAUUGCGAAGGCAGCAUACCGGCUCCAUACUGACGCUGAGGCACGAAAGCGUGGGGAUCGAACAGGAUUAGAUACCCCUGUAGUC
rnacentral:rRNA from 1 species